rnacentral:rRNA from 1 species
GGGUCAGUAGGUUGGUCGUGCCACCGGUACGUACUGGUCUCACUGAUUCCUCCUUCCUGAAGAACCGUAAUGCCAUUAAUUUGGUGUUGCGGGGAAACAGGACUGUUACUUUGAAAAAAUUAGUGUGUUUAAAGCAAGCUAACGCUUGAAUACAUUAGCAUGGGAUAAUGAAAUAGGACGAUCGAUCCUAUUUUGUCGGUUUCUAGGAUUGACGUA